UGCCAGCUGAGUGCUAGUUCCUGGAGUGAGGGGAUUACUUUCAAGUACUCCAUUAUCACUGAACACUGCAUAAGCCGCCUUUCGAAGUCCUUUUUCUACAAAGGAGCUUCCAUCAGUAUACAAGUUGAGGUCGGGAUCAGUCAAGGGAACCUCUAAAAGGUCCCCUUGAGCGGCAUAGGUUUGAGCAAUUACUUGUUGCCAGUUAUGUUCUAUUUUUUCUUCAUUGUCUGGAAGAAAUGUGGCUGGAUAUAAAAUGGCAUAUUAACAGUUAAGCUCAGCUAAGGUAAGAUCUUAUGAUUCCUCCCAGCUCAUUGCUGCAUUUCUACAUUUCGAUAAAAUUUUGAAUAA
rnacentral:lncRNA from 1 species